rnacentral:rRNA from 1 species
AACGAACGCUGGCGGCAUGCCUAACACAUGCAAGUCGAACGAGACCUUCGGGUCUAGUGGCGCACGGGUGCGUAACGCGUGGGAACCUGCCCUUAGGUUCGGAAUAACUCCCCGAAAGGGGUGCUAAUACCGGAUAAUGUCUUCGGACCAAAGAUUUAUCGCCUUUGGAUGGGCCCGCGUUGGAUUAGCUAGUUGGUAGGGUAAAAGCCUACCAAGGCGACGAUCCAUAGCUGGUCUGAGAGGAUGAUCAGCCACACUGGGACUGAGACACGGCCCAGACUCCUACGGGAGGCAACAGUGGGGAAUAUUGGACAAUGGGCUAAAGCCUGAUCCAGCAAUGCCGCGUGAGUGAUGAAGGCCUUAGGGUUGUAAAGCUCUUUUACCCGGGAUGAUAAUGACAGUACCGGGAGAAUAAGCUCCGGCUAACUCCGUG